rnacentral:lncRNA from 1 species
GCCACUGAAAUACAGACAUAGUUUUACUCCGGUGCUUCCAUCCAUGCUGGUUGGUGGCAGGCUGUUGUUCUAACAGGGCCACAAACUUUACCAGAAGAUCCCAUCAUCAUUGUGUGUGCUUGUAUUCUUCGGUUGGGCUGAAAUGAAAGUCAGUGCGGCGGGGGAGAUGGAGGCAAGGAAAGAGAAAGAGACACAGCAGUGCACCUCUCUCUCUCUCUCUCUCUCUCUUCCUCCCUCCCUCUCUCUCUUUCUUUCUCUCUCUCUCUUUCUCUCUCCCUUUGUAUGCUAUCAAUCUCUGGCAUCACUCACCAACCUGUAUGUAGUUAACCAGUAGCGUCUCCCUCUCUUCCUCCUUUACAAAAACCUCUCCUGGUAUUGUUAGCUUUGUUUACAAUCUUCUGUAAUACCACUGCAUAUGCCAACAGCUUCUUUGUCAUUCCCAGCAUCUGCUUUACAGCUUUUUUUGUCACCAGCAUCAUUCAUAUAUACCCAUAUAUAUAUGCAUACAUAUGUUUGUGUGUGUGUAUAUGUAUGGAUAACUUUUUUUUCCGAAGUAACAAAUGGAUUUCGCUACUAGCCUCAUGCGCACAUUCGAUAAGGGAUGAAUUACGAAGCAUCUCCAUGCACCUGCAUCUGCAGAAUCCUCUGCACUUCUUCUUCUUUCCAUGUCUCUCACGCUGCGAUUCCUUAUUGCGUCCAUUCUCUGUUGUCAUAAUAAACCGCUGACGGUCCUCCAUGAUCCUUCCUCCGCUUCAUUGUGAUCGCAAACCUGACCCACUACCGCCCCACCCGUCGUCCUAUCCCGUCCCUACUCAUCCCCCUUACACCAUUAUUACACCUUCAUGAUCCCUGGCUAUUUACAUCUGUGCAUCAAGGUUUCACCAAGCCCCCUCCUUUUUUUUUUUUAAUUUUUCCUCUCUCCCUCUCUGUCUUUCUCUCCUCUGUUUGGCCAAAAUGGUUAUUAGCACAUUCCUCUCAUUAUGGGUUUCAAUUAUAACUUCAAGAGCAUACACUGGUUGGCCGCACCGAUGCUGCUGUUCAACAAGAUAUUCACCUCAGUGGCCUGGGAAUCAUGCCAGAGCACUGUAUUGUGGACUUUGAAGGCAAUGACGUCUACCUCACACCUCUUGAAGGAGCCAGAACCUGUGUCAAUGGCUCUGUGAUACAUCAGAAAACCAAAGUCAGAAAUGGCGACCGAAUUCUUUGGGGGAAUAACCAUUUUUUCCGGAUAAAUCUACCAAGACCCA